rnacentral:tRNA from 1 species
GGGAUUGUGGCUCAGUGGUCGAGUGCUCACCUAGCAUGUGUGAGGCACUGGGUUUGAUCCUCAGCACUCCAU